GGGUCAGUUAUGAAAACUUAUUGUCCUGAAGUGACAUGAUGACGUAAAAAUUGUGAUCAAUUGAAUUAUGAUGAAGAUAAACCU
ensembl:snoRNA SNORD115 Small nucleolar RNA SNORD115